GAUGAACGCUGGCGGCGUGCCUAAUACAUGCAAGUCGAGCGAACGGACGAGAAGCUUGCUUCUCUGAUGUUAGCGGCGGACGGGUGAGUAACACGUGGAUAACCUACCUAUAAGACUGGGAUAACUUCGGGAAACCGGAGCUAAUACCGGAUAAUAUUUUGAACCGCAUGGUUCAAAAGUGAAAGACGGUCUUGCUGUCACUUAUAGAUGGAUCCGCGCUGCAUUAGCUAGUUGGUAAGGUAACGGCUUACUAAGGCAACGAUGCAUAGCCGACCUGAGAGGGUGAUAGGCCACACGAGAACGGGGACGCGGUCAUGACUACUACGGGAGGCAGCAGUAGGGAAUCUUCCGCAAUGGGCGAAAGCCUGACGGAGCAACGCCGAGUGAGUGAUGAAGGUCUUCGGAUCGUAAAACUCUGUUAUUAGUGAAGAACAUAUGUGUAAGUAACUGUGCACAUCUUGACGGUACCUAAUCAGAAAGCCACGGCUAACUACGUG
rnacentral:rRNA from 1 species